rnacentral:rRNA from 1 species
UACGUAGGGUGCGAGCGUUAAUCGGAAUUACUGGGCGUAAAGCGUGCGCAGGCGGUGAUGUAAGACCGAUGUGAAAUCCCCGGGCUUAACCUGGGAACUGCAUUGGUGACUGCAUCGCUCGAGUAUGGCAGAGGGGGGUAGAAUUCCACGUGUAGCAGUGAAAUGCGUAGAGAUGUGGAGGAAUACCGAUGGCGAAGGCAGCCCCGUGGGUCAAUACUGACGCUCAUGCACGAAAGCGUGGGGAGCAAACAGG